CAGGCUUAACACAUGCAAGUCGAACGCAGCCCUCCGGGUGAGUGGCAGACGGGUGAGUAACACGUGGGAAUCUACCCAUCAGGACGGAAUAACCGCGGGAAACGGCGGCUAAUCCCCGAUGAGCCUACGGGUGAAAGCGUUAGCGCCUGAAGAAGAGCUCGCGGCUGAUUAGUUAGUUGGUGGGGUAAGGGCCUACCAAGGCGACGAUCCGUAGCUGGUCUGAGAGGAUGAUCAGCCACACUGGGACUGAGACACGGCCCAGACUCCUACGGGAGGCAGCAGUGGGGAAUAUUGGACAAUGGGCGCAAGCCUGAUCCAGCCAUGCCGCGUGAGUGAUGACGGCCCUAGGGUUGUAAAGCUCUUUCGCAGGGGAAGAUAAUGACGGUAGCCGGAGAAGAAGCCCCGGCUAACUUCGUGCCAGCAGCCGCGGUAAUACGAAGGGGGCUAGCGUUGUUCGGAAUUACUGGGCGUAAAGCGCGCGCAGGCGGAU
rnacentral:rRNA from 1 species